AUGACCUGGGGAUUUCAGAGUUUCAGUGGGAAAACAUCCUCAAAUCCUCAAUUUUCCCCUCACACCCUCAGCUUUUCCUCAAAUCCUCAGUUUUUCCUCAAAUCCUCAAUUUUACCCUCACACCCUCAGCUUUUCCUCAAGUCCUCAGCUUCUCCUGAAAUUCUCAAUUUUCCUUCUCAUCCUCAAUCAGAUUUUCCCCAGUUUUUCCUCACAUCCUCAGCUUUUCCUAAAAUCCUCAGUUUUUCUCACAUCCUCAGUCAGUUUUCCCUUAAAUUUUCCCUCAAACCCUCGGUUUUUCCUCAAUUUUUCCCUCACAUUCUCAAUUUUAUCUCAAUUUUUCCUCAGUUUUUCCUCAGUUUUCCCCUCACACCCUCAGUUUUCCCUCACACCCUUGAUUUUUCCUCAGUUUUCCCUCAAUUUUUCCUCAGUUUUUCCUCAGUUUUUCCCUCACACCCUCAUUUUUUCCUCAGUUUUCCCCUCACACCCUCAGUUUUCCCUCACACCCUUGAUUUUUCCUCAGUUUUUCCCUCACACCCUCAGUUUUCCCUCAAUUUUUCCUCAGUUUUCCCCUCACACCCCCUCAGUUUUCUCCCCAGUUUUUCUUUCACGCUCUCAGUUUUUCCUCAGCUUUUCCUCACACCCCCGUUUUUCCUCAAAUCCCUUUUCCCUCACAUCCUCACCUUUGGAAAUCCUGCUUUUCCUCAGCUUUUUCCCACUUUUCCCUCAGUUUUUCCUCAGCUUUUCCUUCGGGCCGAGCCCAACCCAGGCCAGGCCUGAGGCCUGCCCAGCCGAGCUCAAAUCUCUCUAUUUUUAGCGCCGAUAACACCAAAAAAUGCGGUUUUUCUUCAGAAUCUCGGUGUGAAGUUGCUCCCACACACUCACCAGCUUCCUCCACCCACUCUUUUGUCUGCAAAUUGUGCUUUUAUUUCUUCAGAGUUGGAGCUUUUCAUGUCGGAGACCUCGCAAACCUUUGGUUCUGUAGAUAUUCCCCAGGUUUGGGGUUUGAUAAGCAUCAAAAAUCGAUUUGAAACUUUUGUUUCCUUUUUACAUCUUAAUCAACGCUUUCAUCUCUCCUUUGGCGGCGUGACCGGGGAUUUGUUCUGUGGAAAAAUCAGCCUUGAUUAAAUUAAAUUCACCUUUAAAACAACAAAAAACGCUUGGGUGUUUUGGGAUUAAAAACACCCAAACGCUGCUUUGGGAUUAGAAAUUUAAAAGCAGGGCGGGGAAAGUGUUUUAAGAGCGUUUUUUGGGCAGUAUUUCACAGCUGUUGUUUGGACUAAAUGACCGAGGAAGGUUUUGUUUUUUAUUUAAAUAAUGUUUUGGAAAGUUGUGGGUCCCUCGAGGGAGGCAGUGAAAGGUUUGGAGCAAACAGCUUUGAUAAUUCAGAAUAAACCCCACUGUGGCCUCGGUUUGAGGUGGUAC
rnacentral:lncRNA from 1 species